rnacentral:rRNA from 1 species
AUUGAACGCUGGCGGCAGGCUUAACACAUGCAAGUCGAGCGGAGAUGAGGUGCUUGCACCUUAUCUUAGCGGCGGACGGGUGAGUAAUGCUUAGGAAUCUGCCUAUUAGUGGGGGACAACAUUCCGAAAGGAAUGCUAAUACCGCAUACGCCCUACGGGGGAAAGCAGGGGAUCUUCGGACCUUGCGCUAAUAGAUGAGCCUAAGUCGGAUUAGCUAGUUGGUGGGGUAAAGGCCUACCAAGGCGACGAUCGGUAGCGGGUCUGAGAGGAUGAUCCGCCACACUGGGACUGAGACACGGCCCAGACUCCUACGGGAGGCAGCAGUGGGGAAUAUUGGACAAUGGGCGGAAGCCUGAUCCAGCCAUGCCGCGUGUGUGAAGAAGGCCUUUUGGUUGUAAAACACUUUAAGCGAGGAGGAGGCUACUUAGAUUAAUACUCUAGGAUAGUGGACGUUACUCGCAGAAUAAGCACCGGCUAACUCUGUGCCAGCCGCCGCAGUAAUAC